AGGAUGAACGCUGGCGGCGUGCUUAACACAUGCAAGUCGAACGAUGAAGCCGGAGCUUGCUCUGGUGGAUUAGUGGCGAACGGGUGAGUAACACGUGAGUAACCUGCCCUUGACUCUGGGAUAAGCACUGGAAACGGUGUCUAAUACCGGAUACGAACUUCGACGGCAUCGUCAGGAGUUGGAAAGAUUUCGGUCAAGGAUGGACUCGCGGCCUAUCAGCUAGUUGGUGAGGUAACGGCCCACCAAGGCGACGACGGGUAGCCGGCCUGAGAGGGUGACCGGCACACUGGGACUGAGACACGGCCCAGACUCCUACGGGACGGCAGCAGGUGGGGAAUUUGGACAAGUGGGGAACCUGAUCCGAGCCAUCCCGCGUGUGCGAUGGAAGCCGUUCGGGUUCGUAAGCUAACGUUUGGUACGAGGAGAACCGG
rnacentral:rRNA from 1 species